rnacentral:lncRNA from 1 species
AAAGAAGAAAACUUUCCUCAGGUUGUAUGUACGAGUAACUGUAGUAAGAUACAAGCAUGUGACAAAUUGGAGACUUACUUGCAAUGUGCAUCAAAAAUAUCGUCAUGAAACAUGAAAACAUUCACCCUGGUUACAAUAACCUUAAAUCUCACGUUUUGAAAUGGUUUGAUUGGCAAAUGUCUAGUGACUCAGGAAGAGUAGAAAUGGAGGGGUAGUUCUUCCUUAAAUUCUGCACAUGCUGGCUUUUUGGCCUCUUCACCCUGCAAGGUUCACUCUCAACUCCUCCUGGGGGACAGGUCGUUCUCUCUCAUAGAAAAUUAUUUUCUUAGUCAGAGGGUUCUGUGGGAGCCUGAGAUUCCGUUUCGGAAAUGACAAGGCUCCUCUGAAAAGCCAAGCUUGUCCAUGGAAACACGCUCUCUGCCGGCAGCCGUUGGACCCAUCCUGUGCAGGGGUUGACUUCCCUCUGAAAGUGGUACGAUGACACGUCACCACGGUAAUGUGCUUGUGCACUUCUUGCCUCAUGGUCAGGCUGUCGCUCUGUGGCCUGAGAGGUUUGUACGUGGUGGCCAGUGUGACGCUCUCACUUCACGGCUCAUGCUUUAGGAAUGGGCAAUCUCAAUCACUGUUCCUAAGGUAAGUUUACAUUGCUCCCCCGAGUGGCUGUUCCUUCAGAUGGGCUCGCUCACUUUGUCUCCUGCAUUUUUCCUUCUUGUGUUUUUCUUCUCAUUUCUACCCCUCUGAGCUAUCUCUAGAGUUAUGCGUAUAACUUCCGGGUUCGUUGUCUUAAUUAAUAUGUCUGGUCCACCUGCCUCAGAUUCAUCACCCGUCAUUGUUGUGACGCUUGGACUGUCACUUGGUUACCCCUCAUGUGGGUCCUGUUUGCACUUCCUCACCUUCAACAGGACUGAGUAUCAGAGGAGAUGAAAAUAGGUACUGUCCAUGAGCUGCGAAGCAUCGUUCCCAUGAAGAUGCUGGGGAAUAAGCUUCCACCCUUCCCGACUUGAGGCAUCCAUUUACCCCCUUUGGUUUUCAGCCACCACUGACUGUCUAGCUUACUCUUGCCAUCACUCAAGGCUGAACGCAUACGGAGCAUUGACGAGGCACCCGUCCUUCCUUUUUCUAAAAUGUUACCCGUACUUCAUGAAGUCGUCCUCAUAACAUCAUACUAAAAGUCAGCCUUCUAGAAUACCAUUUCCACCUCGUAGAACAGGGCAUCGAGGCCCUUAGGGAUCUACAACCCUUUCCCCAGGUUCAUGAUUCUUCUGAAUGUGUUUGAACCAGACCAUCAGGCACGAUCACUCUUACUUUGCUGUGUUUCUAGAAGGUCUCAGUUAAACAAAGGUGGUUGUUCAAAAAUCCUGUCUGUUGGUUGUUUUAAACUGCAUGAUCCUUCUAAGUCUGACCUUGAUCCAGGCAGCACUCCUGGGCAGCUGGUGAGCCAGGGGACCAAAAGAUUAAAUGGAAUAAAUGAGUACAAAUUUCCCUACGGUCUUCUGACAGCAAGAUGUCAGCAGUCCUCCCUGUUGUGAUAGAUUGCAUAGGAUGCUGCUUCCGGAUCCAAAGGAACAAUCGACAGAUGUCACAAAGAUCCACCUCUGGCUGCAUCAGAAAAUUAUGCUCCUGGCUCCACCAGCGAAUGCAACGGGCUAAUGGGUCGGGGACAGGUACGUGGAGAUUUUCUCCUUCGGUGCAUGCAAGAAUAAUUUUUCUUUAGGGUCCCCUGUAUACGAAUGAACUCGGAAGUAUUUUGUGGUAUCCUUUGUGCGUGCGUGCGUGCGUGCGUGCGUGUGUGUCCAAGUUGAAACAUACUUAGUCAGGUGGUAGUGUUUAUAUACCUGUGGAAAUAAAACGACUUUGAAAUCUCAACAGCCGGUUGAUGUUGGAGGGUGAAGAUGAUCUCUAGCCAGGGUGUCGAUGACGGCUGGCUUUUGGACAUUAGCUGCUGUGUCUCCCUCAGGGAAGCCGUGUUUCCAGGUGUCUUUAAAUUAUUAGACAUUGUUUCGACCUGGAUUAUGUGGACAAAGAAGUCCAACAGAUGACACAGACGGUUCCCGAAUCCCACCGCUCCAGGUCCAGCCAUUGACAGUGUAUCACAUGCUGGUGGUACCUUUAUUCCAAUUAGCAGAACACUAAUAGUUUGCCUUAGGAGUCAUACUUGGUGCUCUUAUAAGCUCUGCCCUUUGACAGAUGUGCAAUGUGAUUUCUCACCAUUAUAGCACAGAGAAAUCCGUACCCGAAUGCUCCCUGGCCUGUUUCUCCCAGGAGUCCCAAGAUGGGCAUUAUGCAAAAGGCCUUGAUGAAUGUGGUGAUGAAUGAGAGGACUGGCAAAAUGAAAUGCCAAAGAAACUCCGAGUGAGCUACUCUUUAGCCGCAGAGUGGAGUUAAAGCUCGAAAUACGUUAGGGUAUGGGUGGACCGAACACUACAAAAAGCUAUUGUGGUGAGUGAAAUAAGGCAGGUGCACAGCAAGACAGAUACCGUGUAAUACUACUUGUGUAGGCACGUUCAUAUAGCAGAAGCAGGAAUUACCAAGGCCUGGUGGCCAGGGGAAGGUGAGUUGUGAUGGGUCAUGUCGGGUAGGAUGACAAAGGUGUGGGUGUAGGUAGUGUUGAUGGGUAGAAAAGCGUGUGGAAGUCAAAAAGGCUACGGAACUGUAUAGUUAACAGUUAUGCAAAGGAUAAAUAUUAUACCUGUGCCAUCACACUGUGCUGAGCAGAAGCAGGGCAUGUGACCGUGUGGAGAUGAAAAAUGGUCUUGGAACAUUCCAAGAAGUAGCGGGAGUCGCCACGGGAUUUAAAAUAGGCUGGAGGAGUCAUUGGACUCUGUCCUUGAAACAUGGCAUGACUUGUUUUUGUUUUGUUAUGUGUGUGUGGCCACACCUGUGGCAUAUGGAAGUUCCCAGGGGAGGGGUUCACCCAGAGCUGUACCCCAGCCAUGGCACCACCGGAUCCAGGCCACAUGUGCACACUACGCCGCAGCAUGCAGCAACCCUGGAUCCUUAGGCCCCUGAGGGAAGCUAGGGAGCGACCCUGCCUCCUCACAGAGACAGCUUCGGGUCCUUAACGCACGGAGCCACAGCGGGAGGUUCCCCAGAACAUGAAUUUGGAAUUUACCUCUUUUCAAAUUGCCUACAUUGAAUUGAGUAUGUUGGCUUUGGCUAGGAAGCUUAAAGCUCCCCUUCUCAUUAUGUCAAGGAACCUCCCCUUGGCCAGCCUCAUCCCACCAGAGUGGUCAGCCAACAGCAUGUGUGCCCAUGCUUCAAAAUCACCCUCAUCCUUACUCUCCCUCCCUGGGUUCACACACCACUCCCCAACAAUGCUGCCUGAAUAGUUCCUGAGCAGCGUCACCAAUAUCAUGACUCAUACUCUAUGUUCUCCCAGUUCACCCUCGGCAUAUUUUGGUGAAGGAGUACAGCAGCUCAGAAGAUAUUCCAUCUGACCCCUCAGUAAGUGCCUUUUAUUAUUUGAGAUAAAAGCAUAGCUUCAUUUUCUCCUUGUUUUCAAUCAAAUUCAAAUGUGAAAAUCUAUACAGUUGAAAGUAUGGAGACAUACUUUUUUCCUGGGUUGGAUGACUGAAUGCCUUUCCCAGUGAUUGACUGUAAAAGCUAUUUUCAGUACAACAGCAUCUGUUGCACACUGCAUGUGUGGUUGGGAGCAUUUUUUCUGCAGAGUAUUACCCUCCUUGAAAGAGAAUUUUUUAGUGUUCGGUCAAAAUAGACUUAGGUCUUCCAGGAAAUUUUGAAGCAUUUCUCACAAAUGACAUCUCUGUUUUCUUUGGGACCAUGGACUCAAGAAAAGCUUCAUUUAGCUUUCUGAGAAAAGAAAUAGUAUGAAAUAUUCUUUGUUCAUAGAGCCCAUGAAGCUUAGAUUCUCACACUGUUUUCUUUUCUCCAGCUCAUGUUGUACGAGUGGCCUUACAGAAGCGGUGUGUAUUCAGAGAUCAUCUCUCCAGUGACAAACAAUCUUGGUGCAGUAGAAUGUGGGGCUUCCUUGCUGACAUUGGUUGCAGAGCCUCCAUAUCCUGGGUUCCUUUUGGAAGGAGACUUGGGGGUUUAGAGCAUACAGCUCUUCGCCACUCAUAGUUUUGCCCAAGAUGUCCAUGCCCUGGACACAAGUAUAUCAUGUUGAUGCCUUGGGUUUUACAUGUUAUGAGGGACAGGGAGUGAGGUCCAUGUGCGAGCACAUGUGGUGUUUUCCUCAUGAGAUAUUUCAUAUUUACAUGGACAUGACAACCAUUGAAUUUCCCCAACACAAUUUCCAUCCCUUCUGCACAACUUCUCUACAUUCAUGCAUUCUCCCUUCACCACCACUGUUCCCAGUUUGGCUUAAGUUUCCCCUUGCUCAGCUGGAGAUGGUGCAGAGACAGUUGGCCCAAGCUCUUGACCUCCUACAUGGAAAAUCUAAAUGGGGACCCAGGCCAGGUUAUCCAUGGGAGUGCCUGGACCCCUGACCUGCACCUCUCUCUCAGCCAGGAUUUUGUCAGUCAUGGAGCACUGACGGGGAAGGGUCCCUGCUCCAUGUCUAUGCCUGGUAAUACCAGGGUCUCCAGAGGUCCUGUAGAUGCUAUGCAUCUUAUAAGGUCCCUGUCAGUGCUGACAUCAUCGCUUCAACAUGGCCAAAGCAGAUGGGAAUCGGCGAGGCGUAUUCUUGUAUUGGACAGUGUCACUGUCAUUCUCACACUUGACCACCCUAGGUAGCACACACCCAGGCGAUCUUGCAAGUAAGAGCUCAGAGUUCACCCUCAUCCUGGUGUCCGGCACCACUGUACAAACUUGCUGCCCACCUGGGUGAGAAGGACUCUGUGUUCCCUCUGUGUUUCUCUCCAUGAAAUAAGUCCCUCAUGUUGUAAGACUCUUGUUAGUGUGGCUGUACAUUUAAUCAGGGCACAUGCUGCACACACCGUGUAGAAAAUGAAGCCUGGAGAACAACCAUGAUAUGAAUGAUAGUGGCUGUUUUUAAUGGUAGGAUUUCAGUAUUGUAAGUUCUUCUAUAUUGGGUUUUCUUUAAGAGCAGUGUUUUGUGAAUCCAUUUAUUAGCAUGCUUUUCCUGGAAAUCAGCC